AACGAACGCUGGCGGCAUGCCUAACACAUGCAAGUCGAACGAGACCUUCGGGUCUAGGGGCGCACGGGUGCGUAACGCGUGGGAACCUGCCCUUAGGUUCGGAAUAACUCCCCGAAAGGGGUGCUAAUACCGGAUAAUGUCUUCGGACCAAAGAUUUAUCGCCCUUGGAUGGGCCCGCGUUGGAUUAGCUAGUUGGUAGGGUAAAAGCCUACCAAGGCGACGAUCCAUAGCUGGUCUGAGAGGAUGAUCAGCCACACUGGGACUGAGACACGGCCCAGACUCCUACGGGAGGCAGCAGUGGGGAAUAUUGGACAAUGGGCGAAAGCCUGAUCCAGCAAUGCCGCGUGAGUGAUGAAGGCCUUAGGGUUGUAAAGCUCUUUUACCCGGGAUGAUAAUGACAGUACCGGGAGAAUAAGCUCCGGCUAACUCCGUG
rnacentral:rRNA from 1 species